CAUUAACUCAGUUUUAAUACCACAGCAUGAAACCAUUAUCGCCAUUUCACAGUAGAAACUCGGUGCUUUACUGGCAAGAAGCUCUCAGCUGGUUUCUGGUUGGGAACCUUCUGCUCUAUCCUGGCAGUUCAGAUCCCGUCCACAGCAGGAAGGAAACAGUUCUGAGCUCAAAGUUACGACUCCCAGGCACAAGCGCCACCAAGAACAAUGGAGGAGGAGGAGGAGGAGGUCGCGGCAGUGUUUACAGGGCAGGGCUGUCCAUGCCCGCACUGCAGCCGUCCAGCUUUCCACAGCCAUCGACAGAGUUUUUCUGCUCAGAUAAAUACAAGGACUGAAAACUUAAAAAGCCCCACGCACCUUAAAGUCACUUGCUAAAAUUAAGGUCUCUCAAAAUUUAAUUGUAAGCUAGUGAGAACAAGGGAAUUAGGUGUUUCAUUUGAACAUUACUGUAGUUGUUCUUCCUUUUUCAAGGAAGGGCAGCCC